CCGGCGCACGGGUGAGUAACGCGUAUGCGACCUGCCCGUUGCAGGGGAUAAUCGGGAGAAAUCCCGUCUAAUACCGCGUAACGCCGCGGGGCUGCAUGGCCCUGCGGCCAAAGGGAGCGAUUCCGGCAACGGAUGGGCAUGCGUGACAUUAGCUAGUUGGCGGGGCAACGGCCCACCAAGGCGACGAUGUCUAGGGGUUCUGAGAGGAAGGUCCCCCACACUGGUACUGAGACACGGACCAGACUCCUACGGAAGGCAGCAG
rnacentral:rRNA from 1 species